GAUGAACGCUGGCGGAAUGCUUUACACAUGCAAGUCGAACGGCAGCACGGACUUCGGUCUGGUGGCGAGUGGCGAACGGGUGAGUAAUACAUCGGAACGUGCCCAGUCGUGGGGGAUAACGUAGCGAAAGCUACGCUAAUACCGCAUACGAUCUAAGGAUGAAAGCGGGGGACCGUAAGGCCUCGCGCGAUUGGAGCGGCCGAUGGCAGAUUAGGUAGUUGGUGGGGUAAAGGCUCACCAAGCCGACGAUCUGUAGCUGGUCUGAGAGGACGACCAGCCACACUGGGACUGGGACACGGCCCAGACUCCUACGGGAGGCAGCAGUGGGGAAUUUUGGACAAUGGGGGCAACCCUGAUCCAGCAAUGCCGCGUGAGUGAAGAAGGCCUUCGGGUUGUAAAGCUCUUUUGUCAGGGAAGAAACAGCAGCUCUAACACAGUCUGCGAAUGACGGUACCUGAAGAAUAAGCACCGGCUAACUACGUGCCAGCCGCCGCAGUAA
rnacentral:rRNA from 1 species